UGGAUUGCAUUGCUUUGCUACUUGCUACGACCAAGUAAUGAGACAAUAGGACUUAAAUUGCAGUCUCAGUUUUUGGCUGCAUAUAAUUACACACACACACACACAUAUAUAUAUAUAUAUUAUACACACACACACAUACACGUGUGUGUGUCUCGAUUGGUCUAUUCUGAUUUUAUGAUAGUUGGUGAAGAUUAAAAAAAAAAAAUAUGCAUUUCAUAUCUCAAUUAAAAAAACCUCUUGCAUACAACGAUGAGUAUAUAUAUGCAACGUUCAGUAUCUCUUGAUAGGCUGAUCACGUCUUCGUUAUUGUACGCAAGAACUUCUUCUCCUCAAAUAUUUCAUUUGCACGCGAACUAGGUGUUUUCUUGCAUCAAAGGAGCUUGCCACAUGAAAACCUAGAUCUGGUUUGAUAUGCAAUCUCAUAGGUGGAUCUUAAGAUUUUUGUGCGCUUAUUUUCUUCUAAGUGGACGCCCACUAACAAUUGUUAUCACACUAAAUUUCAAUAGCUUGUGAUGAAUCAUUACCCAUUUUACAGAUAUUGAAACUUUGAGGAAUAAUCAGUAGAGGAUUGAAUGAUGAACAGCUUCCAGUAUAUUGACCCAUGAAAGAUAUAUUUCUACUGCACUAAGAAGAGAAGAAGUUUGAGCUCGGAGCACAGUGUGAACAAAAAUACUCAAGUACGAGAGCCAUCCUCGACGACUUACUAGGUUGAUGCCUUUUUGACUCAUGUGAUAAGUGGGACACUCAAAAUGGUGAUGAAGUAAAUGAGGCUGUUGGCAGCACCGAAAACAGAACAAACAUGUUGAAGCUUGAAUGCAUGGGUGAAUAAUGGUGAUAAACGACUGAACAUACGAGGAUGACGACAGAUGGAGUGGAUCACAAUUCACAUGGCCUUGCUCUCUCCAUGUCUCUCCGUGUCCUAUGCUAUCAAUUGGAUUAUCUUCCAUCUUUGAUAACUCUAUUAAACCAAUUAAUUAAUGUGCUAUUCGAUUCAUGCUUAUCUGUAUAAUUAAUUAAUUAAUUAAUUAAUUAAUUAAUGAAAUUAGUGAGUGAAA